rnacentral:rRNA from 1 species
GUGACCCCAGGAUGGGCGAGGCCACCCGCCGAGUUUAAGCAUAUCAAUA